UCCUGAUAACCCUGCAAUGCAGCAGGUCUU
rnacentral:piRNA from 1 species